GGGGAUGUACUGGUUUUGACAGCACUGAUGCGAGACGGUAAGCACGUCGGGCGUAGGAGACUUGCCCGUUAAUCUCAGUCUUCAAAAAAUUAGUUGGCAACAACAAUUAUGCACUCGCUGCCUAAUUUGACCAGAGUCAAUUAGCUUAAUCCGCGUCGCCAAGGCUGCGGCGCCGACGAGUAUCCCGCGGACAUUCCGCCUGUUUUGUUCCGAGUCCGGGGUAUCAUUCAAACGGGCUGCACCGGCCGACUCCUCUGCCGCCGGUCAAGUUUCAGAGGAUAAGCUUCUGCUGGCCCGUCUUCCGGCAGGCCGAGGCCGACAACCAAAGGAAGAAUAAGCGUGUAGAAAGCCGCCUGGUGCGGUGUUUGGACGGCGGUUCGACUCCGCCCAUCUCCACU
rnacentral:tmRNA from 1 species